ACUCCUCGGGAGGCAGCAGUGGGGAAUUUUGGACAAUGGGGGAAACCCUGAUCCAGCCAUGCCGCGUGUAUGAAGAAGGCCUUAGGGUUGUAAAGUACUUUUGUUAGGGAAGAAAAGCUAGUUUUUAAUAAAAAUUAGUGAUGACGGUACCUAAAGAAUAAGCACCGGCUAACUACGUGCCAGCAGCCGCGGUAAUACGUAGGGUGCAAGCGUUAAUCGGAAUUAUUGGGCGUAAAGCGAGUGCAGACGGUUACUUAAGCCAGAUGUGAAAUCCCCAAGCUUAACUUGGGACGUGCAUUUGGAACUGGGUGACUAGAGUGUGUCAGAGGGAGGUAGAAUUCCACAUGUAGCGGUGGAAUGCGUAGAGAUGUGGAGGAAUACCGAUGGCGAAGGCAGCCUCCUGGGAUAACACUGACGUUGAGGCUCGAAAGCGUGGGGAGCAAACAGGAUUAGAUACCCUGGUAGGCGUAG
rnacentral:rRNA from 1 species